GCCCUCGUCGUUCAACGGAUAGGACGCCGGCCUCCGAAGCUGGAAAUGGAGGUUCAAUUCCUCCCGAGGGCA
rnacentral:tRNA from 1 species